AACACACACAAAAAAAAAAACAUUUAACCUUAGUUUACACGAAAAAAAAAACCUUAGUUCGUUUGUUUACACUUUUGCAGCAGUUACAAUUUACAACUUCAGAGUCAGAAAGCCAAACGCCGUUGUUCUUUCUCUCUCUAACAUCUCAAAAUUGUUUCAGCUUUUUUUCAUUCUCACACCUUCAUUUCAUUCAUAAAAAUAAAAAAAACAAUAAACCUUUUUUCUUUGUUUUGAAACAUGUUUCAACUCUCAGUUAA